CGAAAGCUAGUUGCAUUAACUAACUGUUAAUGCAGAAGCGACUAUGUCGUGUAAAGUUCAGGGUAGAGUUAUGAUAAUGACAUUUUCUAUCUGUGUGUCUCGACCAAACUACGUGCCAGCAGUCGCGGUAAUACGUUGGAGACUAGUGUUAUUCGUCUUUAGUAGGUUUAAAGGGUACCUAGACGGUCAUUUCAGCCCCUAAAGGGUACUGUUUGUACUAGAGUUUUAUGAGAGGGGGGGUGUACUAAUGGUGUAGAGAUGAAAUUCAGUCAUACCAUUACGAACAGGCAACAGCGAAGGCAACCCUUUAUGUGUAAACUGACGUUGAAGGACGAAGGCUUAGUCAACCAACAGGAUUAGAUACCCUAGCAGUCUGAGCAGACAAUGAUGAAUGCCAUAGAUUGGUAUAAAUAGAGAAGAGGAAGAAAGUGAAACGUCUUUUUUGUUUACAAAANACAGAAAUUGUAUGUCAUUCUUUUUGGAAAUUGUGACAAUAAUUAUUUUCCGCCUUGGGGCUACCGGCCUUUAUCUUAAAAGAUUUUAUUUUCCACCUUGUCUAUAAAUGAAAGUGUAAGCAUUCCACCUCAAGAGUAACGUGGCAACGCGGAAACUGAAAUCAUUAGACCGUUUCUGAAACCAGUAGUGAAGUAUGUUGUUUAAUUCGAUAAUCCGCGGUACACCUUACCACAAUUUGUAUGUUUAGUAAUAAAUACAAGAGUUGCACGGCUGUCUUCAGUUAAUGUCGUGAGAUUUUGGUUAGUUCCAUUAAAUUAACGUAAACCCUUACUUUAUUUUAGUAAAUAGAGUAGUUCACCGCUAUAUUGGAUAUGAUAAAAGGGACUAAGACAAGUCAUCAUGGCCCGAAUAUUGUGGGCUAUAGACGUGCCACAUACGCCUAUACAAAGGGAUGCGAAAUUGCGC
rnacentral:rRNA from 1 species